UACGGAAGGGGCUAGCGUUGUUCGGAAUUACUGGGCGUAAAGCGCACGUAGGCGGAUUGUUAAGUCGGGGGUGAAAUCCCGGGGCUCAACCCCGGAACUGCCUUCGAUACUGGCAAUCUGGAGUCCGAGAGAGGUGAGUGGAAUUCCGAGUGUAGAGGUGAAAUUCGUAGAUAUUCGGAGGAACACCAGUGGCGAAGGCGGCUCACUGGCUCGGUACUGACGCUGAGGUGCGAAAGCGUGGGGAGCAAACAGG
rnacentral:rRNA from 1 species